rnacentral:rRNA from 1 species
ACGAACGCUGGCGGCGUGCUUAACACAUGCAAGUCGAACGAUGAACCACUUCGGUGGGGAUUAGUGGCGAACGGGUGAGUAACACGUGGGCAAUCUGCCCUUCACUCUGGGACAAGCCCUGGAAACGGGGUCUAAUACCGGAUAACACUCCUGCCUGCAUGGGUGGGGGUUAAAAGCUCCGGCGGUGAAGGAUGAGCCCGCGGCCUAUCAGCUUGUUGGUGAGGUAGUGGCUCACCAAGGCGACGACGGGUAGCCG